rnacentral:rRNA from 1 species
GACGAACGCUGGCGGCGUGCUUAACACAUGCAAGUCGAACGGUGAUCUUGAGAGCUUGCUCUUGGGUGAUCAGUGGCGAACGGGUGAGUAACACGUGAGUAACCUGCCCCUGACUCUGGAAUAACUUCGGGAAACCGAAGCUAAUACCGGAUAUGACACAGAGCCGCAUGGUUUCUGUGUGGAAAGUUUUCGGUUGGGGAUGGACUCGCGGCCUAUCAGCUUGUUGGUGAGGUAAUGGCUCACCCAAGGCGACGACGGGUAGCCGGCCUGAGAGGGCGACCGGCCACACUGGGACUGAGACACGGCCCAGACUCCUACGGGAGGCAGCAGUGGGGAAUAUUGCACAAUGGGCGAAAGCCUGAUGCAGCGACGCCGCGUGAGGGAUGAAGUCUUUCGGGAUGUAAACCAUUUUCGCUGGGAAAGAAGGUCUCAGUCGUGAACUGAGAAUUGACGGUACCCGGUAAAGAAGCCCCGGCUAACUCCGUG